AAAAUCAUCAGAGUGAACAGGCAACCUACAGAAUGGGAGCAAAUUUUUUCAGUCUACUCAUCUGACAAAGGGCUAAUAUCCAGAAUCUACAAUGAACUCAAAUAAAUUUACAAGAAAAAAUCUAACAACCUCAUCAAAAAGUGGGCAAAGGAUAUGAACAGACACUUCUCAAAAGAAGACAUUUAUGCAGCCAAAGGCACAUGAAAAAAUGCUCAUCAUCACUGGCCAUCAGAGAAAUGUAAAUCAAAACCACAAUGAGAUACCAUCUCACACCAGUUAGAACGGUGAUCAUUAAAAAGUCAGGAAACAACAGGUGCUGGAGAGGAUGUGGAGAAAUAGGAACACUUUUACACUGUUGGUGGGACUGUAAACUAGUUCAACCCUUGUGGAAGUCAGUGUGGCGAUACCUCAGGGAUCUAGAACUAGAAAUACCAUUUGACCCAGCCAUCCCAUUACUGGGUAUAUACCCAAAGGAUUAUAAAACAUGCUGCUAUAAAGACACAUGCACAUGUAUGUUUAUUGAGGCACUAUUCACAAUAACAAAGACUUGGAACAACUGUCGCAAGGACAAAAAACCAAACACCACAUGUUCUCAGUCAUAGGUGGGAAUUGGACAAUGAGAACACAUGGACACAGGAAGGGGAACAUCACAAACCAGGGCCUGUUGUGGGGUGGGGGGAUGGGGGAAGGAUAGCAUUAGGAGAUAUACCUAAGGUUAAAUGAUGAGUUAAUGGGUGCAGCACACCAACAUGGCACAUGUAUACAUAUGUAACUAACCUGCACGUUGUGCACAUGAACCCUAAAGCUUAAAGUAUAAUAAAAAACUUUAAAAAAAGAAUAUUUUACAUAAGCAGGGUCAAAGAGUCAAAAUAGGAUCUGCCUAUGUAGCCUCAAGUUUCUUUUUAUGGACAAGGAGUAAAGGCUCAACUGCUUUAAAGUAUUGAACCAGAAGCCUCCAAUUUCCAGCUCAAUGAUGGUUGCUUGGGAAAAGCAAUGCACAUUUUAGGUUUAAAAUCACUGUUCAAACAACUGAUCCUUCCCUUCAGCCAACAGAUCUUUGUUGAGCAUAUACCAUGUGCCUGCUACUGUUCUGGGAUUUAAAGAUACGUCAGUAAACAAAACAGACAAAAAUCUCUGCCUUCAUGGAGCAAAAAAUGUCGUGUA
rnacentral:lncRNA from 1 species